rnacentral:rRNA from 1 species
GACGAACGCUGGCGGCGUGCUUAACACAUGCAAGUCGAACGGAAAGGCUCCAGCUUGCUGGAGUACUCGAGUGGCGAACGGGUGAGUAACACGUGGGUAAUCUGCCCUGCACUCUGGGAUAAGCCUGGGAAAUUGGGUCUAAUACUGGAUAUGACCUUUCUCCUUAUGGGGUUUGGUGGAAAGUUUUUCGGUGUAGGAUGAGCCCGCGGCCUAUCAGCUUGUUGGUGGGGUGAUGGCCUACCAAGGCGACGACGGGUAGCCGGCCUGAGAGGGUGAUCGGCCACAUUGGGACUGAGAUACGGCCCAGACUCCUACGGGAGGCAGCAGUGGGGAAUAUUGCACAAUGGGCGGAAGCCUGAUGCAGCGACGCCGCGUGAGGGAUGACGGCCUUCGGGUUGUAAACCUCUUUCAGCAGGGACGAAGCGUAAGUGACGGUACCUGCAGAAGAAGCACCGGCUAACUAUGUG